UACGUAGGGGGCAAGCGUUGUCCGGAAUUAUUGGGCGUAAAGAGCGUGUAGGCGGUCCGGUAAGUCAGCUGUGAAAGUCGGGGGCUCAACCCUCGGAUGCCGGUGGAUACUGUCGGGCUUGAGUACGGAAGAGGCGAGUGGAAUUCCUGGUGUAGCGGUGAAAUGCGCAGAUAUCAGGAGGAACACCAAUUGCGGAGGCAGCUCGCUGGGACGUUACUGACGCUGAGACGCGAAAGCGUGGGGAGCAAACAGG
rnacentral:rRNA from 1 species